rnacentral:rRNA from 1 species
GAUGAACGCUGGCGGCGUGCCUAAUACAUGCAAGUCGAGCGAACAGACGAGGAGCUUGCUCCUCUGACGUUAGCGGCGGACGGGUGAGUAACACGUGGAUAACCUACCUAUAAGACUGGGAUAACUUCGGGAAACCGGAGCUAAUACCGGAUAAUAUAUUGAACCGCAUGGUUCAAUAGUGAAAGACGGUUUUGCUGUCACUUAUAGAUGGAUCCGCGCCGCAUUAGCUAGUUGGUAAGGUAACGGCUUACCAAGGCAACGAUGCGUAGCCGACCUGAGAGGGGGAAUGGGCCCACCUGAACCUGAGACCCGGCCCAGCUCCUUAGGGAAGGCAGCGUAGGGAAACCUUCGGAAAGGGGGGAAGCCCUAAGGAGCAAACGCGGGGGGAUUAAGGAGGUCUUCCGGUUGUUAAACUCUGUUAUUAGGGAAGAACAAAUGUGUAAGUAACUAUGCACGUCUUGACGGUACCUAAUCAGAAAGCCACGGCUAACUACGUG